rnacentral:rRNA from 1 species
GACGAACGCUGGCGGCGUGCCUAAUACAUGCAAGUCGAGCGAGUCUGCCUUGAAGAUCGGAGUGCUUGCACUCUGUGAAACAAGAUACAGGCUAGCGGCGGACGGGUGAGUAACACGUGGGUAACCUGCCCAAGAGAUCGGGAUAACACCUGGAAACAGAUGCUAAUACCGGAUAACAACAGAUGAUGCCUAUCAACUGUUUAAAAGAUGGUUCUGCUAUCACUCUUGGAUGGACCUGCGGUGCAUUAGCUAGUUGGUAGGGUAACGGCCUACCAAGGCGAUGAUGCAUAGCCGAGUUGAGAGACUGAUCGGCCACAUUGGGACUGAGACACGGCCCAAACUCCUACGGGAGGCAGCAGUAGGGAAUCUUCCACAAUGGACGCAAGUCUGAUGGAGCAACGCCGCGUGAGUGAAAAAGGGUUUCGGCUCGUAAAGCUCUGUUGUUGGUGAAGAAGGACAGGGGUAGUAACUGACCUUUGUUUGACGGUAAUCAAUUAGAAAGUCACGGCUAACUACGUGCCAGCAGCCGCGGUAAUACGUAGGUGGCAAGCGUUGUCCGGAUUUAUUGGGCGUAAAGCGAGUGCAGGCGGCUCGAUAAGUCUGAUGUGAAAGCCUUCGGCUCAACCGGAGAAUUGCAUCAGAAACUGUCGAGCUUGAGUACAGAAGAGGAGAGUGGAACUCCAUGUGUAGCGGUGAAAUGCGUAGAUAUAUGGAAGAACACCGGUGGCGAAGGCGGCUCUCUGGUCUGUUACUGACGCUGAGGCUCGAAAGCAUGGGUAGCGAACAGG